GAUGAACGCUGGCGGCGUGCCUAAUACAUGCAAGUCGAGCGAACGGACGAGAAGCUUGCUUCUCUGCUGUUGGCGGCGGACGGGUGAGUAACACGUGGAUAACCUACCUAUAAGACUGGGAUAACUUCGGGAAACCGGAGCUAAUACCGGAUGAUAUUUUGAACCGCAUGGUUCAAAAGUGAAAGACGGUCUUGCUGUCACUUAUAGAUGGAUCCGCGCUGCAUUAGCUAGUUGGUAAGGUAACGGCUUACCAAGGCAACGAUGCAUAGCCGACCUGAGAGGGUGAUCGGCCACACUGGAACUGAGACACGGUCCAGACUCCUACGGGAGGCAGCAGUAGGGAAUCUUCCGCAAUGGGCGAAAGCCUGACGGAGCAACGCCGCGUGAGUGAUGAAGGUCUUCGGAUCGUAAAACUCUGUUAUUAGGGAAGAACAUAUGUGGAAGUAACUGUGCACAUCUUGACGGUACCUAAUCAGAAAGCCACGGCUAACUACGUG
rnacentral:rRNA from 1 species